rnacentral:rRNA from 1 species
UACGUAGGGUGCAGGCGUUAAUCGGAAUUACUGGGCGUAAAGCGUGCGCAGGCGGUUUCUUAAGACAGUUGUGAAAUCCCCGGGCUCAACCUGGGAACUGCAUCUGUGACUGCAUCGCUGGAGUGCGGCAGAGGGGGAUGGAAUUCCGCGUGUAGCAGUGAAAUGCGUAGAUAUGCGGAGGAACACCGAUGGCGAAGGCAAUCCCCUGGGCCUGCACUGACGCUCAUGCACGAAAGCGUGGGGAGCAAACAGG